GACGAACGCUGGCGGCGUGCUUAACACAUGCAAGUCGAACGGAAAGGCCCUGCUUUUGUGGGGUGCUCGAGUGGCGAACGGGUGAGUAACACGUGAGUAACCUGCCCUUGACUUUGGGAUAACUUCAGGAAACUGGGGCUAAUACCGGAUAGGAGCUCCUGCUGCAUGGUGGGGGUUGGAAAGUUUCGGCGGUUGGGGAUGGACUCGCGGCUUAUCAGCUUGUUGGUGGGGUAGUGGCUUACCAAGGCUUUGACGGGUAGCCGGCCUGAGAGGGUGACCGGCCACAUUGGGACUGAGAUACGGCGCAGACUCCUACGGGAGGCAGCAGUGGGGAAUAUUGCACAAUGGGCGGAAGCCUGAUGCAGCAACGCCGCGUGCGGGAUGAGGGCCUGCGGGUUGUAAACCGCUUUCGCCUGUGACGAAGCGUGAGUGACGGUAAUGGGUAAAGAAGCACCGGCUAACUACGUG
rnacentral:rRNA from 1 species